rnacentral:rRNA from 1 species
UACGUAGGGGGCAAGCGUUGUCCGGAUUUAUUGGGCGUAAAGAGCGUGUAGGCGGCUUUGCAAGUCCGUUGUGAAAACUCGAGGCUCAACCUCGAGACGCCGGUGGAAACUGCAAAGCUAGAGUCCGGAAGAGGAGAGUGGAAUUCCUGGUGUAGCGGUGAAAUGCGCAGAUAUCAGGAGGAACACCCGUGGCGAAAGCGGUUCUCUGGGACGGUACUGACGCUGAGACGCGAAAGCGUGGGGAGCGAACAGG